AAUAUUAAGGUAGUGGACGCGACGCGCGAUCGUCGUUUUUCUAUUGGUCGACGCGUUGUCGUUAUCGGCGUAGUGUCAGGUGCGUAAAAACAAUAUCCAGCGUUUUCCACACGACUGCACUAUUGCACUGGUGCACCCAGACAGUUUACCGGUAAUCGUAGGUAUAUUACGAUUUUUCUUAAAUAUUUAAAAUUAUUAUUAUACUCGU